rnacentral:rRNA from 1 species
GACUAACGCUGGCGGCGUGCCUAAUACAUGCAAGUCGAACGGGAUUCUUUGAUCAGCUUGCUGAGAGAAGGAUCUAGUGGCGGACGGGUGAGUAACGCGUGGGAAUCUGCCUCUUACUGGGGGAUAACAGUGGGAAACUACUGCUAAUACCGCAUAAGAUCUUCGGAUGAAAGGUGCAACUGCACCGGUAAGAGAUGAGCCCGCGUCCCAUUAGCUAGUUGGUGAGGUAAAGGCUCACCAAGGCGACGAUGGGUAGCCGGCCUGAGAGGGUGAACGGCCACACUGGGACUGAGACACGGCCCAGACUCCUACGGGAGGCAGCAGUAGGGAAUCUUCCGCAAUGGGCGCAAGCCUGACGGAGCGACGCCGCGUGAGUGAUGAAGGCCUUCGGGUCGUAAAGCUCUGUUCUUGAGGACGAAUAAGCCAGGGAGUGGAAAGCCCUGGUGAUGACUGUACUCAAGGAGAAAGCUCCGGCUAACUACGUGCC